ACCUCAACAAGUUCUUCGCAGGUUCAUCCCGAGCCCAGAAAACGAUGGUCUCUAUCGUUCCUCAACCACGUCUCCAUCGUGGGUUGGCUCUGACGACCACUCGCCGGCGUCGGCCAAGGGGGAGACCACUACCAAUCGAAAGGUCUCUUCAUCCCGAGCAUAGAUCCGGACCACGAUGGGUCUAAAACACCUCCUAACGCUGCAGAUUAAAAAAACUCUUCGGUUUUCAAGAUCUCGGCGACCUUCUUAUCCUGUGAAAACAAACGAAGGGAUUCCGUCAGUCAUCAGUGACGGAGGCCUCGCCUGAACGUCAUGGAUCUCCAACUGGAGGUCCGAUCGUCUCAGAGUGUUUCCAAAAAAAUCCUCUUGUAUUGUUUCUAUGGGUAUUUAUCAUCCCCAGAUUACAACAAUUCCCUCUAUAAAACGGUUCCUUGUGAGGAUACUGCCAAGCACGAGUGAAGGUUGUAUGGCCUCUGCAACAAACGGUCUGGCAGCGGGUACCAAAUGGGGAUCGCUGCUUCGUAUGAUAUUUUUCAUUGUGGCAUGAGUCGAGACAAAUUUCCAUAGCUGAUGUGGAGAAUGAUGGCAACGAUUAUUAUAACUGAGACCAUCGACGCGUGUGUGAAGAUCUCCGAGCUGAACCUGGAUCGUUCGAUCAACGUUUGUACUGCUCCAAACUAAUAUUGGCUAUUAGCGACGGCUAAAGGCCAGGUGAUAGAUAGGGUUUCAAUUGAUACAAUCUGCUUAUGGGCUGAUUUGUAAUUGGGCUUUGGGCCUGACAAAAU